AUUGAACGCUGGCGGCAUGCUUUACACAUGCAAGUCGAACGGUAACAGGGUGCUUGCACCGCUGACGAGUGGCGAACGGGUGAGUAAUGCGUCGGAUCGUGCCGAGUAGUGGGGGAUAACGCAGCGAAAGUUGUGCUAAUACCGCAUACGUACUGAGGUAGAAAGUGGGGGACCUUCGGGCCUCACGCUAUUCGAGCGGCCGACGUCUGAUUAGCUAGUAGGUGAGGUAAGAGCUCACCUAGGCGACGAUCAGUAGCGGGUCUGAGAGGAUUCUCCGCAUUGCUGGGACUGAGACACGGCCGAGACUCCUACGGGAGGUAGCAGUGGGGAAUUUUGGACAAUGGGCGGAAGCCUGCUCCAGCCAUGCCGCGUGUCUGAAGAAGGCCUUCGGGUUGUAAAGGACUAUUGUCAGGGAGGAAAUCCUAGUGGCUAAUAACUGCUGGGGAUGACAGUACCUGAAGAAUAAGCACCGGCUAACUACGUGCCAGCCGCCGCGGUAACAC
rnacentral:rRNA from 1 species